UUCCUUUUAAACAAAUUUACCAAAAUCUUGACGCUCGGUCAGGUUCCGGUUCACUCCGUGUUCUAAGACGCCUCACGUGACCAGGAUCGUCCAAUUAGAAAAUCGUCUACAAAUUUUCGGGAGGGUUAACAACUCAUAGGCGACCAUUUUUCAAAGCUUUAGAUUUUUGUUGUGUGUUGAAAAAUCUGGCCAUUUCUCGACUCAAUCAAGGCAAGCGGCAUUGAACAUAACAUUUUGGCUGUCCGCAUCAACUGGGCGACACAUGUGUGCUGUGUUGUGGACAAUUUACUAGCGAACAGAACCUGUAAGAGUUGAAUGUAGCGAACGAAGUAUUCUCAAAAGGAACGUCGAUUUCGAAUGAAGAAAACAUAGAGAUUGUUGACUCGCAAAAGCGGAAUGAACGCUCUAUAAACAAGUGGAAGGAUACAGUUUUCUUACCCGGUUGUCAACAAGCCGAUUUGUGACAACUUCGCGUUGUAAUUCCUCUGAAGAUGUCGGCAACUCGAGCACUACCGACUGUAAACGAAGGAGGUGCACCGCUAUUAAAGGAAGAACCACGGUCCUCGAGUUCUUCGGGUCGUUCCCGAAACAGAGCUGGCACAGGAAGCGAUGACAUACAUAUUGGCAACUAUAAACUUUUAAAAACUAUCGGCAAAGGCAAUUUUGCUAAAGUUAAACUGGCCAAACACACGCCGACGGACAAGGAGGUUGCGAUCAAAAUCAUCGAUAAAACCCAAUUGAAUCCCAGUAGUUUACAAAAGCUGUUUCGGGAGGUUCGCAUCAUGAAGUUUUUAGAUCACCCCAAUAUAGUGAAACUUUAUGAGGUGAUUGAAACAGACAAAACGUUAUAUCUGGUCAUGGAAUAUGCAAGUGGAGGAGAGGUAUUUGAUUAUCUUGUUGCUCACGGAAGGAUGAAAGAGAAGGAAGCAAGAUCGAAAUUUAGACAGAUUGUGUCUGCAGUUCAGUAUUGCCACCAGAAGCAUGUCAUUCAUAGAGAUUUAAAGGCUGAAAACCUGCUGCUUGACUCUGAUAUGAAUAUCAAGAUUGCGGAUUUUGGCUUCAGCAAUGAGUUCACACCUGGCAACAAACUGGACACAUUUUGUGGCAGUCCACCCUAUGCUGCGCCGGAGUUGUUCCAGGGCAAGAAAUAUGACGGGCCUGAAGUUGAUGUCUGGAGUUUAGGAGUUAUUUUAUAUACAUUAGUCAGUGGUUCUCUUCCAUUUGAUGGACAGAAUCUUAAGGAACUAAGGGAGAGAGUUUUACGUGGAAAAUAUAGAAUACCUUUUUAUAUGUCGACAGAUUGUGAAAACCUAUUAAAGAAAUUUCUAGUUUUAAAUCCAAUGAAAAGAGUUCGCCUGGAGCAAAUCAUGUCGGACAAGUGGAUGAACAUUGGUCAUGAAGAUGAUCCUCUUAAGCCUUACAUCCAACCGUCGCCUGAUUUCACAGAUGAAAAACGUCUCGAUAUUAUGAUUCAAAUGAACUUCACGAAGGAUGAAAUACGAACGUCUUUGUUGAACAAUCGUUAUGACGAGGUCAUGGCAACGUAUUUACUUUUGGAUGAAAAACGGGCGAACCUUUCGAUAACGAUGAACGACUUGAUAGCGGCAUCGCAUUCCUCGUCGCUCACGACGCCUUCUCGGGAACCUUCGUCGCGCUCGGGUGGUACCGGACGGAGCAAGAAUGACCGUCAUGGCGCGAAAACUAAUCGAGAGUUGAUACGAAGGCAUUCGCACGGUGACAGGGUUCCUAAUAAGGCUCUUGUGUAUAAUAGGGCAAACAACGCUGGUGACAAGGGUGGUCAAACGUGCGACAAGACGGAAUCAAAUAAAGACGACAUGGCCGCUACGAAUGAUAGAGUAAUCUUGGGUCAGGCUUCAAAUCCUAACAAGGACGAGUUCCCUGACCGGGGUACCAGAAGGAUAAAAGGUGGUGGAAGGCAACAUAGUCUACCUCCCGAGAAGAUUCGAAGGAAUACCUACCACGAUAAGAAGUCGAGCGCUGUACCAGAUAGAUCUGGCACUAGCAUGAGUGACAACCAAUCAUCGGCCGUCUCGUCUCAAACCAACGGCAGUAGGACGAGCAAAGGCGGUCCUCCGUCGUCAAGACAGAAGCAACCAACAUCGCUUACCAAUCGCAUGGGACCUGUGCGAAGGUCUUUACCGCCCGUUGCUGUGACGAGGGAAAACGAUAGACUAAGACCCGGCUCUGCCCCAGGCACCCGCGGCGCCGAACCAGGAGGUACAGCCAACAGUCGCUUUGGUCACCGACAGACACCGCAACGGAGUACGUUUCACGGUGGACAAACACGACAGAAACAUUACCAGGAGAAUGGACCCGAUUCUGGCCUGCCUCAUGACGUCACCAGUCCAACACGAACCUCGUUGCUAAGUAAACUGACGUCACGGUUUAGUCGAAGGUUCGUUCGGUUUAAUCGAAGGUUUGUUUUGUUUUAAUUUGGUUGUUGUUUUUCCGCCUCUGAAGGAAUGCAUAAACGAGUUGUAAGAAUGGCCACAAAUCGUAAGUAACAUUUGAUUCGAUAAAUUCUUAAUCACAACUAAUCAUACUAAUCGCUUAAACAUACUCUCGCCAUACUUAAAGCAAUCGCGAUAAUCUUAACCACAUAACCUUGGACUGCAAAUCCACUUGCAUCCUCGAAUCCAAACAUCCGUUCGUACGCAGUCACCGGGACUUAUCUUUGACGAGAAAUAGGGAUAAAAUAGUACUUUAGGGGUAAUGGUUGAUGAGCGGUAGUAAUGAUGGAUUUAGAAAGAAAGCCUAUUUGGUUCCAGUUUCUUUGCACUUGAUCUCCUAUUAAGCAUUUUUGAUCUAAUGCACGUUUCAAAAUAUCAUUGGUUGAGAUUUUGUUUGUACAAUAUGGAGUCCACAUCUCCCAAAAAAGUUUUAUUUCAAAGUAAAAAGGGCCACUAGGAUAGAGUUGGCUGAAAUACGAAGAGAAUUUGAACGUUUCCAAGAAAAAGCCUGACCCGUUCGAGUUAAUUUUAUUGGACAAACUGUUUAGAUUUAGAACUUUUACUAUUGUAAAAACGUUUAUAAUUUGAUAGAAUUGGAAAUGUA
rnacentral:misc_RNA from 1 species